GCCCGGGUGGCGGAAUCGGUAGACGCUGAGGUCUUAAAAACCUCUGCUCGGAAGGGCGUGUGGGUUCGAGUCCCACCCCGGGCA
rnacentral:tRNA from 1 species